rnacentral:lncRNA from 1 species
GGGCAGGGCGGCUGGGGAGGCCCUGGUGGCGGAGCCUCCGGGACGGUGGACAGCAGGCGGUAGAGGAGGAGACGGCCGGUCGGGUAGGGCCGCGUUUCCCCUCCUACCAACCCCGGGGGCAUUUUGCAGUAGCCCCUGUGGGAAGUCAAGCUGUGUUCUCGCCCCGUGGGUCUAGCUGGAGGCUGCGUUCAGGUCCCUCGACGGGCCGAGUUUUGAGGAUAGCCGUGAUUGGGGCGGGGGUGGGGGCGAGCCGUGGUUGGGAGAGGGCGCAUGCGCAGCUUGACGCUCCGGGAGCCCCUGCCCAAACCGGUUCCCCCUGUCUGGGUGGGUGUCUUGUCUUCUGAGCUCUGCGGUUGCUGCCCUUCUCCCCUUCACCCAACCCCCCUCCCCAGCGAAGCCGGUUUGUGUCUUGACUUUCUUGUUUUCGUUUCUCCCCUUUGGGAAUCAGACUGUCCCUUCCGCCUCAGUUUCUCCCAGUUGCCUACUAGGCCUGUAUGUGUGGCUGACUUGGGCCUCAGGCUUGGCUUCCUGGGCUGCGCCGAGUUUCAAAGGCUUGCUCUUUUAGUGUCGCUCUAUCAUCUCAUGUUUGUCUUUCUUUUUCCCCGCCUGCAAUUAAAGUGCCUUUGACAUCCCGCUCAUCCUAUCUACUAGAAGCGUCUGCCUCAACACCUUGUUGCUGUAUCUUGGUUUUCAGCAACCUUCAGGGUUUUGUGUGUUAAGCUAGAGGGUAACCCCGGCCUCCAGGAGUUCGCUAUCCACUGCUUAGUACUUUGGUCCAUGGGCUUCUAACAUUCAAACUGUUAAGUAUUUGCAUACCUCUGGUUACUGAGGAUUCCUUUUCAUUUAUCUUAGAAGUAAAUUCCUUUUCAUUUAUCUUAGAAGGAAACUGUUAAAUGAUUAUGCUACUAGUGUUCCCUUAGUUUAAAAUCAUAUUUCAACUUGAAUUUGAGAUCUUUUGGCUUUUGUCAAUUGGAGGGUGUGGCGCGGGGAGACUUCAUUUGAUAUUUUCAUUUAGACCAACACCUGUAUUUAUUUUUGUUAUGAGUAGAAGUAACGAGUGUGUGCGUUUCCAACUGCUUUCUUUAGGCAGGAAAAACUUUACCACAUUAAACCAUUGUUUGAAAAGUAGUUAGGAAUAAAGUGUAGGUGCCAAGAAAGGACACUUUUUUUUUUUUUUUUUUAAAUGGAGGACCUUUGCCUUAAUUCAGGUCUGUGUAGGGUGCUAUAAAUUAUACUAGAAACUUUAAGUAGAGCUUAAAAAACUGAAAAUGAAUACAGGAGAGAUUGAUGAUCGUUCUUGUACACUUUAGUUUGUAUUAAUAAGAUUUGAAUCCAUUAUUGAUUUGUAUGUAUUGGUGACAUUUAAAAUUCACAUGUAGCUCUAAUACAAAAUAUUAACUCGGUCUCAUGCCAAAGUUGCCAUAUUGCUAGAUUGGGGUACACUUCCUUUCAUUGUUUCAGAUUUGUAAGUUUGUAGUUAACUCAUUGGUCUUAAUAAGAGAUGUUUGAAAAGUUAACCUGUCAGCUAUAUGCAUUUUGGCAUAUUUGGUAUUGUAUUUUGUAUAAAAUAUAAAAGUGAUUAACAGUAUGGGAGUACUCUGAUACAUGUUUCCUAUCUUCUCUGCAUGUUGAGAGAAGUGUCUUGUACACAUUACAUACUCUACCUUCAUGAGGGGACAUGAUUUUCCAUAAUAUAACCAAACUUAACAGCCCAGACUUUUUAGAGCAGUCAUUGUCUUUUAUUUAGUAAAAUUUCAGUUAAAGCUUCAUUGUUUUGAUAAUGGCUUUUGAGUAUAGGCAUUAGAAAAUAAUGGUUUAAAUCAUUGCUACUUUCAGUAUCUUUAUAAAAACACUGGUAUGCUAAGGAUCUGACAUAGUCUGCACAUAAUUAUGUUUGCAAUUUUCAAUAUUAUGAGAUAUUAUUAGAUUAUCAAGAAUGUGGGAUAAAUGAAUACAACACUCUUAAAUCUUUCUUGUCUAUAGAACUCAAAUAUUAUUUUAAAAGUGCCAAUUUAACUAAUAUAUAUGAAGCAAAAUUUGGCAUGUCAUUUUGGCACGUUUUAACCGCUUUGUUUUUUACUGGUUUUACAUAGUUUAAAUUCAGAGGAAAGAAAUUCCAGAGCUUAAGAAAUUGAUGCCCAUGGCUGUACCUGAAAAACAACAACAAUCUGGGUGUAGUGGCCCAUGACUGUGAUUCCAGUGACUAGGGAUGCUGAGGCAGGAGAGUUGCAAGUUAAGGCCAGCCUUAGCAACUUAGGGCACAUCCUGUCUCUGAAUAAAAAAUAAAAAGCUAGAAUGUAGCACAAUUGCACAGUACCAAAACAAAACAAAACAAAAAAAUCACUAGAACAACUUAAUGUGUUUUUAAUUUUUUUUUUAAGUUAUGCAUGGGCACAAUAUCUUUAUUUUUGUUUGUUUAUUUUUAUGUGGUGCUGAGGAUUGAACUCAGGGUCUCACACGUGGGAGGCAAGUGCUCUACCACUGAGCUACAACCCCAGCCCAACGGUGUUUCUUUUUUAUGUUUGCAUAAUCUGGUACCUGAUCAUUCUCUUCCACCUUCAUCUCUCUUCUUGUAUUGUUAUUUAGGAAACUUUUAACUCAAAACAAUAUUGGAUGGACAUUUACUCUUAUAUUGUAACCACUCUUAUUGGCUCUAUUUGCCUUAUUUUUAUUCCAAAUAUGGAAGUAUGUAAGUCAUGAACAUGUUUAUAGAAUUUAGCCUAGAAGUGUCCCUUCUCUUUCCAAAUCAACUACUCUGAGGUAGUCAUCAAUGAGAAUUUCUUGAUGUUUGUUCCUUCUCUCAGUCCAGAGUUCUAUGAGACCUGAUUCCCCCUGCAUCCCAUUUUCUGAUCACCAUAGAGUAAAAUAAAGCUAUAAGCCUACCUUUAAGUUUGUGCUUGACAUUAAAUAGUAUGUAUUACUGUGGCUUUAAAAUGUAAGUGUAUUUGUCUGUAUGUUUUUGUAUGUUGUUGUGGUUGAACCCAGGGCCUUGCACAUGCUAGGCAAGUGCUCCACCACUGUGCUACAUCCCUAGCCUGAGAAAUAUUAGUUGUAUGGCUGUGUUGCCAGAUUUGAGGGUUUGUAUCUGUCCAAGAGAAAAUGCAUAAUUGUUACAUAUUUUCAGUUAGGCUCAUAUCAGCAUCAGCACUGUGUUAGAAACCACUAGUCCUUGGGAUCUGUAAAACUUUGUGGUAAUGACAUUUUUCUCUUUACUAAUGUCUUACAUUUAUUAAGAUAUAUUAACAAAUGAAUUUCUGUGGUAAUUUUAAUGUUAUUUAUGUUAUUAACAUAGCUUAAAAAUACCCUAUUUAAACUUUCUCUUUUCCAUUUUUAUUUAUACAUUUUGGUAAUGUAACUUGACAAUCUGUAAUUAUAAACUUGUUUUCCCUAAUCUGAAGAUGAUGUUUCUAUCACUUAAAGAUGAAUUAAUAUUAAUAUAAGAAUGUAUUAAAUAUAAUCAAGAGUAAUAAGAUCAUUCAAGUCUAAAUUGUAUUGAAUAUUGGGUAUUUGUAUAAUAUUAAUAAAAAGAGCCAUGAGUUAAUAAUUUUAAUAUUUUUUAUAGAGGUAAUAAAUUCUCUUGUACCCUUCAGGGUAUCUUAGUAAACUGACUCUAGGAAUGUGUUAUAAAAGUCACUUUUGUACUGUGACACAUGAUUUUCUAUCUAGACCUCAAAUACACCUGCAGAAGAGGAAUGGUUCCUUCCUUAUUAUAGUUACCUGUUGAAUUCUGUGAAUUCAGGAAAAGCUGAUUUCUGUCUAACCUCAAACUAAUACUUACCUCAAAAAUUGUCUCCCUGCAGAUAGUCUUUUUUAUACUUUUUUAACUGUAUGGAAAGAUCUAUCAGAUAGGUUUAAAAUACCUGUGGAACAUAAUAUUUGUGAAUUUUGUAUCUUUCUAGUGGCUACUAUCUGAUGUGAAUGAGGGGCUCAGUGCAGUGCUAAUGGACUGCUCACUUAUAAAUGUUCCUCCAUUUUUGUUUAACUGUGGAUCAGGUCCUCAGAUAAGAAGGUGAAGAAAACUUAUGUCUUCUGCCAAACAUUUUUGGUUUCCCAAUGUGCAUUUCCCUGGCAUGCAAACAGAAAUCACACAAAAGAGAAACUAUGUUUUACUGCAUUAUCUUAGAUUUUGAUAAACAUUGGAUUCUUACUUGCUUGGAAUUAAAUUCACUUAGAUAAAAGAGAAGUAAUACAAAAAACAUUUCAGAUCUAAGUGCAACAGACAGGUGGAUAUUCUAAAUGAAAUAGAUUCAUUUCCUUACUAAAGGAGAAGGAACUAUAUUGACUAAUAAUAAGAAGAAAAGGUUUUAGAAAACCCCUUAUUGCUUAAAAUAUUUAUAUUUUUAUAUUUAUAAAAUGCUAUGUAAAUUCUUCAGAAAUGUGUUCAGAAAAAGAGGAUACUUAAAAAUAUGCUAGCAAGGUCAGAAGUGUAAUUUGACCUUGUGAAUGAGUAGUAUAUUAACAAUAAGCUGGUUUUCUUUGUAUUCUCAGAGGUAAGUUCUAUUGUGGAAGUGGCUUCCAAAUAACAAUAUCAGUAUUUAGUUUUAAUGAUAUUUUAUAGAAGUGACAUAAAGGCAGCAUACCUGGAGUUCUGGAAAAAAAUCAAAGUCCUGUUUCCUGAAAUAGCUAGAGGAACAUGGAGAUUUGUUUUUUUUCAGGUGUCAAUCGUAUUGCACUCACACAAUCAGGCAGAGUUAAAUGAAUGGCUUUAUUUGCAUUUCAUCCCCUCUUCUUACCACUUGUAUCUUUUAUGAGAGGAGUCUAGAGAGACUGUUGACUUAGCGUCAGAAUGACAUGGACAUCCCAAAGUCUUGCACUUAGCAUGUGACUCAGGUAGCUCUGAGACUCAGUUUCUUCAUUUGUUAAAAUUGAUCUUCUUACACCUACCUUACGAAAUCAUACUGAAAAAAAACCUGAUAUUUUCCCCACUUUUCUAGGUACUUAGAUUCACAAAAGUAUAGAAAGUAUUGGUCCCCUCCUAUUACAUAACUUGAUCAUAGCAUUGCCCAAGUCAAAAAGAGGACCCAGGAAUUCAAUGUUCAAGUCUGUUUUUUCCUAGUUGUAGAUGGACAGAAUGUCUUUGUUUGUUUAAUUUUAUGUGGUGCUAAAAGUCUAACCCAGUGCCUCACACAUAGUAGGCAAGUGCACUGCCACUGAGCUACAGCCCCAGCACCACCCCUCCCCCCCGUUUUUUUCCUAUUAUAAUAGUUUAAAAUCUUAAUAAGGUUUGAUUACUCAUGAAAAAGUGAAAAAUGACUGAAAACAAUGGUUUUUUUUAGGCAUUUUACUGUGUUUUGUGACUUUUUGACCUUAAAAAUCCCACAAAACUACAGUCAAUCUUUAAAAACUUUUAUUGAAGGAUGAAUUGAUACAUGAAAUGUGGCAUACAUACUAAUGAAAAGUUAGCCUUAAAAAGGAAGGAAAUUCUAACACAUGCAACAUGAAUAAGCUUUGAACACAUGCUUACUGAAAUAAGCUACUUACAUAGAACAAAUACUUUAUAAUUCCAUUGCUUAUAAGGUACCUAAGUAGGCAGAUUCAUAGGGACAAAGUAGAAUGUUGGCUCCCAGAGGCUGUGGGGAGAGGAAAUGGAGAGUUACUAUUAAUGGGUGCACUUUCAGUUGGGAAAUAUGAAAACAUUCUCGAGGUAGUUGGUGAUGAAGAUUUCCCAAUAGUGUGAGUGUACUUAAUGCCACAGACUGUAUUCUUACAUGUAACUAAAAUGAUAAAGUUUAUGUUAUGUAUAUUUAAAUACCAAUGUAAAAAGAUUGCAACUUGUAAAAUAUUUUUUAAAAAACUUUUGCUUUAUAAAUUCCUAUAUUUUAUUUCAGAUAUCUUUUCUAUAUUGGGGGUGGGAGGGUACUAAGCAUCAAACCUAGGCACACUUAACCACUGAACUGAAGUCCCCAACCCUUUUUGAGACAGGGUUUCACUAAGUUGCUAAGGGUAGAUUUGGACUUCUAGUCCUCCUUCCUCAGCUUCCAGAGUCAGUAGGAUUACAGGUGUGUGCCACUAUGCCCCAUUCAGGUACUUUUUGUAGUUCAUCUGGUAUUUUAAAAAGUCAUUUAGUAGUUAAAAGAAGUAAACUGUCACAGGCAUCAUAGGUUAAAAAUUGUCUAAGAGGAAUUUUUAGAUAAGCUGGAUUUUCUUGCUUUUAAUAGUGAGUUCCGUCAAGAUAAUUAAUUUUUAUUUAUUUAUUUUUUUUAGUUUUGGGGUUUUAAAGCUAACCUGGAAUCAAUCAAAAGGCAUAAAUUAAUAUGGUUAUCUUAGUUCACAAAUAUCAGAGAAACAGCCCUCAAAUUCAGUCAGAUUUCAAACAAAGACAUCUAUUAUUUAGCAAUUAGUAGUGGUGAAAAGGAAUUUUUUUUAAAGGUGGGAUGGGUUUUCUAUUGAUUUUUGUUAGAUUUGUCUUGCCCUCAUGGGAUAGUCUGUAAGAAAAAUGUGAAAACAAGUGCAGGGAAACAAAAUACAGAGAUGGUGGUGGUGGUGGGGGGGAGUUGAUGCUAACAUAGUAUCAUUUUUAUAACUUCUUUGUAUCCUGCUUGUUUGAUUUAGUAUUAUUUUACUGUGGUCCUGGGAUGAAACCCAGGGCCUCUUGCAAGCAAAGCAUGUGCUCUACCACUGAGCUACACCUUAACUCCUUUUUUAAUUUUAAAGGACCAUAAACCCCACAGGAAUUGUCCUGUUAUAGCAUCUUUGAGAUGUGAUUCUUUUGCCGCUUCCUGUCUUGUUCUUUUAUUUGAACAGAGAGUAAUCUUACCAGGUUUGUGUUAUAGAAAGAUACAUCUGGGAGCAGCGUAAAAAAUGGAUUGAAUAAGGAAAACAUGGAGAUUAGGGGCACCAAGGAAAAAAGAGAUACAGUCUAGAAAUGAACAUAGGCUUCUAGAUACCUGGGUUUGGACCAAGUUCCAUAAUUUUCUCUCUGAACUUAAGCAAGUUACCCAACCUAUCUAAACCUCAAUUUGUCUGUCAUCUGGUAUUAAACCCAGAGGGUCUGUGUCAUUGAGCUACAUUUCCAGCUCUCCUACCUUUUUUUGAGACAGUUUUGUUAAGUCACCCAGACUGACCUUGAACCUGUUUCUGCCUCAGCCUUGGGAGCCUCUGGGAUUAGGUUGUGUGCCACAGAGCCCAGCUAUGGAAUUGGUUUUGAGAUGACAAUAGGGCACAUAUAAUAGAGCCUUGCUGUAUAUUCUCAUGAAACCCUUGUCAUAUCUCUGCUGUACCAAGCAUUGUACUGUAUUAUAAUUACUUGUCAAUAGUCCAUUUUCUCUCCCACUGUAAACCUAGCAAAGGUAAGUAGUACGUUUUAUUCCUCACCACGAUACUAUUCCUAGGGCCUGGCAUAUAUCAGACACUUGAUAGUGAAUAGAAAAGAAACAAAAAUACUCAUGUGGUGUUCAAGAGAAAAGAUAGGAUAGAGUAUUAUCAGCAUACAAUAGAAAGGUAUAAUAACCAUGUUAGUUAAUGAGAUAUUCAGGUAAAAGAGGAACAAAGGUGGAAUUAAAAAAAAAAAUAGGCAAAGAAGCUGGGCAUGGCGCUGCAUACUUAUAACCCCAACAGCUUGGGAGUCUGAGGAAGGAGAAUUGCUUGAGAACCUGUCUUGAAAUAAAAAAUAAAAAGGCCUGGGAUGUAACUUGGUUUUAAAGCAUCCCGGGGUUCAGUCUUCAGUGAGAUAGACAGACACAGAAAUAUACAUACACCAGCAGAAGGAAAGGUACCUAAAUAUCUAAGAAAAGUUGGUCAGAGGUAGAAUGGAAGCAAGGAGCUAGUAAGAGUUUCAGAAUAAGGAAAUGGCCAUUUUCAUUUCUUUAUGCAGAUAGAAGUAAAGUGAGAAUUGAAAAAUUCUUUGGGGGCCGGGGUUGUGGCUCAGCAGUAGAGUGCUCGCCUAGCAUGCUUGAGGCCCUGAGUUUGAUCCUCAGCACCACAUAUAAGUAAAUUAGGUAAAGGUAUUGUGUCCAACUAUAACUAAAAAAUAAAUAUUUUUUAAAAAUAGAAUGAAAUUACAAAAAAAUUUCUUUGGUUUUGAAAUUUUGCAUUACUAAUAGUUUUUAAAAGAGGUUGCCACAUUUUUGAUAGGGACUGGUUAGUGAUAGUUGGGAAUUCCACUGAAGUAGAAGAGGUGAAAGCAGUUAAUACUCCUUCAAGAAGAACAUCUCAGCAAAACCAAGGAACUAAAGGUCAAACAAUCUCUGAACUACAGGCUUGGCACUAGCACAUUUUGUUUUCACCAUGUCAAAUUCAGUUAUGAGUAUCAUCUACACUCUUUAAAAACUAGAUCACUUACUGUGAGGUUGGUUUUGCUUCUAUUAAAUCCAUGCCACAAGUUAACUGUUACUACUCAGAAUAUUAGUAACUAGAAACAAAAUAUCUAAUAGUCCAAAAAAAGCUCAAUUUUUUUAAAAAGGCAACACUCAUUAUCCAGUAGCCAGGUGCUUUUUAAAGAUUGUCCAAAGAGACCUUAUGGGCAGUUUGUUCCAUUUCAGUCUCCAAUUAACUCGGUCUAGAGAAGAUGGAGAAUGAAUAUGAAUCUUCGUUCAGCAAGAAUGAGAUGCAUUUUUUCCAAGUUCUUUGCAAAAGUGCAUAAUUGAACAUAAACUUGUCACUUAAUGGCACAGAUAGUGAAUUUGGGCAAAAAAUUAUUAGGAGUUUUGACAUCAUGAGACUAAUUUUCAGUCAGAAUCCCUAGUGACCUUUUAUGUGACAGUAAAAAUAAAAACAGUGAAAGGAUAGAUGUAAGAAAUAUAGCACAAUUGAACUUUAGGUAUGAUUCAGGAGGCAGCAUAAGUGAACAAAAUUACCUGUCAUCUCAAGUGACUUUAUUAAAGGAGUUGUAGAGAAGGAAACAUCUUUGAACUUAUGCUUACAACAUGGCCCUCUUGGUAUUGACAUGAAGAAACAAACCAUCAGUGCCUGCCAGACCCCAAACAUAUGUAUAUCAUCUUACCUAAAACAGUAGAUAAUAAUAACUUGUCAGCUUUACAGAAUUGUUAGGAUGAGAAAAUGAGGUGAUGGGUACAUCUUAUUCUUUUGUAUUAUAGAAAGAUAAGAUGUCUUUAUAUUGCAUAUUCCUUUACAUAUAUUUAGAUUAAAAACGAAUUAGAGUAUGAAAUUAGGAAAUCCAAAUGUUUGCCCCAGUAAUGUGUUUACUAAGUUUGAUUUCUUUUUUUUAAAUUUUAUUUAUUUUAUUUUUAUUAGUUGCUCAUGACAUUCAAUGAUCUUGACAUAUCAUACAUUUGAUUCAAAUGGGGUAUGAAUUCUCAUUUUUCCACGUAUACAGGUUGCAGGAUCACAUUGGUUAUACGGCCACGUAUACGGCCACAUACAGCAAUACUAGUGUCUAUUGUAUUCUGCUGCCCUUACUAAGUUGGAUUUCUUAAAUCAAUUAAUAUCUUAUAUUUUUUAAUUGGAAGUUGGUUUUGAAAAGCUAUAAUUUUUGAAUGCUUACAGUAUUGUAUAUUGUUCAGUGUUUCAUACAUAUAGUCCCUGAUAAUUUUUUUUUAAUAUUUAUUUUUUAGUUUUCAGCGGACACAACAUCUUUCUUUGUAUGUGGUGCUGAGGAUCGAACCCGGGCCGCACGCAUGCCAGGCGAGCGUGCUACUGCUUGAGCCACAUCCCCAGCCCCGAGUCCCCGAUAAUUUUUAUAAUAGCUUUAUGAGAUAGAGAGGAAACUUUUUCUCUUAUGGAAACUGAAGCUCAGGGUGCCCAGGCUUAUGCUAUUAGUGAGUAGUAGAACUAGUAAUCUUUCUUUCUUUUUUUUUUUUGGUGGGGGUAGUCCUGGGGCUCUCAGUUAUAAGCAUAUAAGCUUGUGCUUUUCUACUGAGAUACAUCCCCAGACCCUAGAACCAGUAUUCUAACUUGUGUGUUUUCCUAACUCCUAAUUGUUUGCUUCACUAUCACACUUAUGACUGCUGUUUUUAUUGUCAGUUUAUGAAAAUUGUUCUUAACCUUUUCAUUGGGUAGCUUUCUUUUUCCAUCUUUAUUUGCCACUCAAUUUCUUUAAUAAAUGUUGAGCACCUACUAUGUAUCAAACAUUGCUGUAAGUGCUAAAUAUACAGAGGUUAAUGAAACAUGAAAAUGGAGCUUAGGUUCUAGUUUAUGAGAUAUGUUAAUGAUUAAAAUGUUCAGUGUGUCAAAUGGUGAGAGAUGCUAUGGAGAUGGUAGCAAGGGGGAUAUCAGUGCAGUGUUUGUGGUAAGAAGUUUAUAUUGUCCAUGGAAAUUGGAAGUAUAGAUUAAAAAAAAAAAGGGUAGGCAGCUUCUUGUGUUAACUGAUAUAAGUAGGGAUUAAAAAUAAAACAAACUUAGGGCUGGGGCUGGGGCUCAGCGGUAGCGCACUUGCCUGGUAUGUGUGAGGCACUGGGUUCAAUUCUCAGUACCACAUAUAAAUAAAUAGAAUAAGGGCCUAUUAACAACUAAAAUAUUUUCUAAAAAAUAAAUAAAUAGAACAAAAUUCAUCCUCAGCAUCUUACAACAGAGGUUGUAAAUCUCUAGAAUAUUGUCAACCAAGUUCUGGGGCAGCUUUUGGCUAGGGAAGGGGUAGUCUUAUCCAGAGCUUGUGGCAAUCAUGGACUCCUACUUCUGUUCAUGGAAGCAAGAGAAAAGGAAUCUUAUUUUGUGAUCCCCACACCCUGACUAGUCUAGUUAGUGUUUUGGUAAACCUCAUUCUUGCUGAGUGAUUCAGUUACUUUCAGAUGCCAAAACUAACAUUUAUCUUAUGAAGUGUAUUUUUCUAUCACCUCCUCAAAGAAAAUGGGUGAAACUUUAAGCCUGCCAAAUCUUUUUUUUUUUUUUAAGAGAGAGAGAGAGAGAGAAUUUUUUUAAUAUUUAUUUUUUAGUUGUCGGCGGACACAACAUCUUUGUUUGUAUGUGGUGCUGAGGAUCGAACCCGGGCCGCACGCAUGCCAGGCGAGCGCACUACCGCUUGAGCCACAUCCCCAGCCCCCAAAUCUUAUUUCCAUAUCCUAAAAACUGAAAUGAAUUCUUUUUAAGUUUAGAGUAUAAUGGAAAGUUAUUAAUGUCUCAGAGCAUAGCUUUAGACAGUUUCCUUGGGCUUUCUGCUAUUCUGUUAAUCACAUUUUAAAAGAGAAUAAAAGAUUGAUUAAACAUGAAAACUUAAAGUACAAGUUCUAAAUAUAGAAAAAGACUCAAUACUGAUUGGGGAGAGGUUCAAAUUUAUGUCAUUAAAAAGCAUUGUUAUAUAACAAAAAGGACACAGAUUUUGGAGUAGUAGAUAACUGGGUUCAAUAUUUUGUUGCCUCUAACCAUUUACAUUACCUUGAAAAAUUAUACCAUCUCUCUAAGCCUUAAUUUUCUCAUCUGUGAAACUUCUUCCCCCCCAAAAGCCUGCACUGAUACCCCUUUCCUUCCAUUUUUCUGUAGCUCCUCUCACCCUUUGAUACACUGAACAUUUAAUCAUUUCGAUAUCAUGCAAGGUAGAACCAAUAAGCUCCAUUUUUAGAAACAUGAAGAGUAAAUCAAGACACUCAUUAUUAAAUUAUAAAGCAACAUAAUAGGUUUAUAAAAAUCAAGUGUUAGAUGCUGUGGAAACAGAAACAAGGGAAAAAAAUUCAUAUGAUUCUGGAGUGAGAAUGGACAAGUGGGAUGAGAAGACAGCUAAAAGAAGGAGGUUUAGAUCAAAUUGGAGUUGAUCAAAUACAGAAGCAAGUAAAUCACUCUAGGAAGAGAGUCCUAUGAGGGUGAAUAUCUAGAGGUAUCAAAGUACAUAUCCUUAGCCGAGGUCUGAAUUAUUUCCUCUCUCAGUAUGCUCCCAUAAUUUUCUUACUGUAAAUCAGGACCCAUUAGCCUUUACAAUUUACUUUGGUAAAGUGUAAACUCCUUUUGUGCAGUUUGUUUACUAUAGCUCACCAUUUAUGCACGAGAUGCUCAAGAAAUACUCAUUGAAUGGAUAAAUUAAAAUAAAAUUUUUCUUUUAAUUUUUUAAAAGACCAUUUUUAGUGUAACACGAGAGUCCAGAAUUCUAGUUUUAGCUGUGCCAUUAACUAGUUAAAUGACCUUACUUCUUCACUUGGGCCAUUUUCUUAUCUGUUUAACAGUAUUGAUAAUGCCUAAGUUUUCUUCCAACUGUAAUACUCAGGAAUUGUGUGAUUUCUGUUGCCAGGUGUUUAUAUGUGAGCCUUAGAGGGGGAUAUAGUGUUUGUCACAUGGCAUGUACUCAGUAAAUACAUAUUCAAUUAAAAAGUCCAAACGUAUCAGAACUUCUCAGUUGGAAAGAUUAAACAGAUUUCCAAAACAUUAUAAAUGUAAUGAACCUAUAGCUACUUUUCUUCCUCUUCUUCUUCUUCUUCUUUUUUUUUUUUUUUGUUGUGCUGGGGAUUGAACCCAGGGCCUUGUGCCUGUGAGGCAAACACUCUACCAAAUGAGCUAUAUCCCCAACCCCUACUUUUCUUAAUUGGUUAUGUUGUAAGGUUCUCUUGAUGUGUUGGCAACCAAAUGAAAAUGGGGAACCAGGUUUUAAAAUGGUAGUUUUGUGUUUGAGUUUUAUUCUAGGGGUCAAUAAAUAAUUGAAUGACUCUUUUAAGUGACACAUCUUUAUAUUUUCUCCUGGGAUUUUUGGCCUGAAACUCAUGUAUUAGAUAAUGUUCAUAUUUUUUUUAUUAUGCUUUGUUCAGUUUUAGUCUCAGUUAUGUAUUUGUCCCAAACAUUUGAAUGCUUUUCUUGGUGGAUACAUUGAGGGUAAGCUUAAUUUUUGUUUAUAUGCCAAAAACAAUUUGUUGACAUUUCUACUGCAUAAACAGCAUUUAACAAAUUAUGCAACACUGCAUCAAAAAGCAAAAUGAGAAUAUAAAUUAAUGAUCCUGAUUUUCUUGUUUUUUCCAUAAAAUCAUUUUAAAAGCUACCCUUCAAAUAGAUCUAAAAUGUUUUUUAAAAAACACUGUGGGGAUCCAGUCAAAGAUGUGUUCUUUCUGUUGUGUUUGUAAAUAUAAAAGUAAAUAAUUAGAAAAGAGAAAUAAAAGUCAAAGGAAGAGUCCCUUAAAUAUAUUGUCUUGAGUGGAAAUGGCAGGAAUUUAAAUUGGAAUAUAGACAUUAUCCAAAUGAGUAGAAUCUCAAUCUACAAACUUACAUAUUUUAAUCCUCUUUUUUUGUCUUUCUCAGAAUCUGUUAGGGUAUGGAUAAUGUUCAUAUUGAGUUGAGUUUUAGGAAGUUGGUGUGGUUAAGAUUGAGUUUCAAUGGAAUUCUGAUUUCUUAUGUAAGAUAUUUCCCAGCUAUAGUAUUAAUGCUUAUCCUGCCUUGAAUUUCUGUCUCUGGGGUGUUAAGGUGAAAUUUUGUUUUUUAAAACCAUGAUGGUAUUUUAAAUUUAAGUAUUGAGAAUGCAAGGAAAACCUUAGUUAAUACGCUUUCCAUAAUAAUCAAGUGCAUUCAUUUCGUUUAUGUUUAUAGCUUUACAAGUUAAGGAAUAGAAAACAGAAGUUUAGUACUCCAUUAAUUUUGGAGACUUAAACUUCCAACAUAUGCCAGAGAAAUCACGGUAGAUAGGUAGGGUCAUUCUGAAGGGAAAACAUUUUAUUUAUUUGAAGUCUAAAAUAUUUUGACCCUAAAUAGUAUAAAAUUCCCUUAUUAUCAGAAUAGAAAGCCAAUAAUAGUAAGUAGUGAACAUCCUGGGAAAAUAUUUUGGAAGUGUUGUUUAAAAAAUUUUUCACACGUGUUCUGUAAGAAUUAAAGCAUAAUUGACUAUCUGGCAGACAUUCUAUAUGAAUAUCUUUAUGGUUUUUGUUUUUCAGGCGUUUUAAAAAUAUUUAAUCAUUCAUGAGUUGAGCCUCAUUCUUGAGUUAUGGAUGACAAGGCUUCUGUUGGAAAAAUCAGUGUCUCUUCAGACUCAGUGUCUACUCUUAAUAGUGAAGAUUUUGUCUUGGUUUCCAGGCAAGGAGAUGAGACACCAUCUACAAAUAAUGGAAGUGAUGAUGAGAAAACAGGACUCAAGGUAAAACUUAAAAACUUAAGUUUAUUUCGCUUAG